AAUGACGAUAUCUAACAUUUACGGGGUGAAAUCUAUCCAAGUCAGAGAAAAUCGGAUAGCCGCCAUGUUGUCAACAUUGACAUCGAUACAAAGGAAAAGCGUGUGUGUGACGCAUACUGUUAAUGCAAACAAGGAAAUUGUGGAACAUGUUCACACACUCUGGCUGUAAAAGUAGACCUGGGAGGAAAAGUGCCCCCGGUGUGGGGCUCGAACUCACAACCACCAGAACACUAGCCCGGCGCUCUAACCAACUAAGCUGACCGGGCAGCUGGUUCUAACCCACACACACUACCCUCCCCCCAUUUACCGGUUAAGGCUGGUGGAGGGUCUCCUGCUAUUUACCGUUGACACCAUUAAAGUAUUCUGAUUGAUGGAGAUAAGGAAGUCCCCUUAUUAUUGUCUUCAACAAGCCUACCGCCACAGGGGACCUAGCAUAAGACCAGAAACCGCCCCCCCCACACACACACACACAUGAUAUUUGCCAGUCCAGGCAAUGUCAACCGCAAGAGAAAACCAGUGAUGACAAGUUUUACAAAUAAUCGGAAAGUGUGGUCUUUUGAAGAGAGUUCUUGAAGUUGUUCAGCAUGUUGUUUUGAUGGAUUCUUGGAAGGAUGUACCUCUAUGAUGUUAGCUUCAGUUCUGGAGUAUAACACCAGUUGUUUCAUAUUUAAUAUCAGA